rnacentral:rRNA from 1 species
AACGUACGCUGGCGGUGUGCUUAACACAUGCAAGUCGAACGAGAAAGUUUCCUUCGGGAAGCGAGUAAAGUGGCGCAAGGGUGAGUAACACGUGAAUAAUCUGCCCUCGAGACUGGGAUAACCUGGUGAAAACUGGGCUAAUACCGGAUAAGACCACGUCCCGCAAGGGAUGCGGGAAAAGGAGGCUCAACCUCCACUUGUGGAUGAGUUCGCGGACCAUUAGCUUGUUGGUGAGAUAAAAGCUCACCAAGGCUACGAUGGUUAGCCGGCCUGAGAGGGUGAACGGCCACACUGGAACUGAGACACGGUCCAGACUCCUACGGGAGGCAGCAGUGGGGAAUAUUGCACAAUGGGCGAAAGCCUGAUGCAGCAAUGGGCCGCGUGUGUGAAG